CGGUUUGGAGCCGGGCGUUGCUUUUCGGCCUGGGAGGUGUCCAGCCUGCCCUGCUGCCCCUCCGGGCAGCCCGGACCACCUCCGGCCCCCGCCCGCCCUCGGCGCUUCUCCCGCAGGCGCCGUCCCCGGUGUCACUCGCACCCACGGCAGCGGCCAGAGCGGGGACACCCCUGAGCAGCCCGUUCCCCCGGGCCGGCCGCUCUCACCUGUUCUGGGGCCGGAUGCCCAGCAGCUGCUGCAUCACGCGCCACAAGCACAUCACUGGUGGCAUCGCAUCCCUCCAGCCCUGGAAUGAUGGAUAGAGCAGAUUCACUGUGGAUCACUGCCUGCCCACAGCUGCACAGCAGUGACUGCUGCAGGAGCAGGGAGAUGAUGGCAAUUGCUCCAGACUGUGAAAGAGAACAGGAUUUGAGCUGAUCCUCCUGGGGCAGGAGAGGCAGCAGAUGCAACAACAAUCGGGGGCAUGUGAUGGA